rnacentral:rRNA from 1 species
GAGUUUGAUCCUGGCUCAGGAUGAACGCUAGCGGCAGGCCUAACACAUGCAAGUCGAGGGGUAACAGGGAAGAGCUUGCUCUUUCGCUGACGACCGGCGCACGGGUGCGUAACGCGUAUACAACCUACCUUUUGGAGGGGAAUAGCCCAGGGAAACUUGGAUUAAUGCCCCAUAGUAUGGGAAUAUCUCCUAAUAUUUUCAUUAAACAUUUAUGGCCAUUAGAUGGGUAUGCGUCCUAUUAGUUAGUUGGUAAGGUAACGGCUUACCAAGGCAGCGAUAGGUAGGGGUCCUGAGAGGGAGAUCCCCCACACUGGUACUGAGACACGGACCAGACUCCUACGGGAGGCAGCAGUGAGGAAUAUUGGACAAUGGGCGAGAGCCUGAUCCAGCCAUGCCGCGUGCAGGAAGACUGCCCUAUGGGUUGUAAACUGCUUUUACAGAGGAAGAACCACUCCCACGUGUGGGAGUUUGACGGUACUCUGCGAAUAAGGAUCGGCUAACUCCGUGCCAGCAGCCGCGGUAAUACGGAGGAUCCAAGCGUUAUCCGGAAUCAUUGGGUUUAAAGGGUCCGUAGGCGGGCAGUUAAGUCAGUGGUGAAAGUCUUCCGCUCAACGGGAGAACUGCCAUUGAUACUGAUUGUCUUGAGUUAUUAUGAAGUGGUUAGAAUGAGUAGUGUAGCGGUGAAAUGCAUAGAUAUUACUCAGAAUACCGAUUGCGAAGGCAGAUCACUAAUAAUAUACUGACGCUGAUGGACGAAGGCGUAGGUAGCGAACAGGAUUAGAUACCCUGGUAGUCUACGCCGUAAACGAUGGUUACUAGCUGUUCGGCCCGAUUAAGGGCUGAGUGGUUAAGCGAAAGUGAUAAGUAACCCACCUGGGGAGUACGUUCGCAAGAAUGAAACUCAAAGGAAUUGACGGGGGCCCGCACAAGCGGUGGAGCAUGUGGUUUAAUUCGAUGCAACGCGAAGAACCUUACCUACUCUUGACAUCCAGAGAACUUUCCAGAGAUGGAUUGGUGCCUUCGGGAACUCUGAGACAGGUGCUGCAUGGCUGUCGUCAGCUCGUGUUGUGAAAUGUUGGGUUAAGUCCCGCAACGAGCGCAACCCUUAUCCUUGUUUGCCAGCGAGUAAUGUCGGGAACUCCAGGGAGACUGCCGGUGAUAAACCGGAGGAAGGUGGGGACGACGUCAAGUCAUCAUGGCCCUUACGAGUAGGGCUACACACGUGCUACAAUGGUGCGUACAGAGGGCUGCAAGCUCGCGAGAGCAAGCCAAUCCCUUAAAACGCAUCGUAGUCCGGAUCGGAGUCUGCAACUCGACUCCGUGAAGUCGGAAUCGCUAGUAAUCGCGAAUCAGAAUGUCGCGGUGAAUACGUUCCCGGGCCUUGUACACACCGCCCGUCACACCAUGGGAGUGGGUUGCUCCAGAAGUAGCUAGUCUAACCUUCGGGAGGACGGUUACCACGGAGUGAUUCAUGACUGGGGUGAAGUCGUAACAAGGUAACC